UCUGAUGGUAAAGAAUCUGCCUGCAAUGCAGGAGACCCAGGUUCGAUCCCUGG
rnacentral:tRNA from 1 species